rnacentral:rRNA from 1 species
UACAGAGACCUCAAGCGUUAUCCGGAAUCAUUGGGCGUAAAGCGUUCCGAUAGGUGGUUGUGAUAGUUUUGGGUAAAAGCCAGAAGCUCAACUUCUGAGUUUGCUUAAAAUACUUCACGACUAGAGGGGCAAAUAGGUAACUGGAACGAACGGUGUAGUAGUGAAAUGCGUUGAUAUCGUUCGGAACACCGAAAGCGAAGGCAGGUUACUGGGUGCCACCUGACACUGCUAGGACGAAAGCGUGGGGAGCGAAUGGGA